AUGGCCUCAUGGCCGUGGAGUUCGACCUCCUUGAACCUCUGUGGUGGCUCUCCUCCAGGUAAUCUCUCCUCUUCCCCUCCUUCUCCCUUCCCAGAUGCUUGGUCUGCUAGGUUCCAGCAAUUGCGUCGAUUUUGGAUUCUUUAUGAGAAAUUGUCUCGUGGUCUCCUGUUAUCCCCUUGCUGCAGCUCGUGGAGAUAUUUUUUUAUUAGUGAGGCUGAUGGUGUCCUGACGAUAAAGCUCGUACAUUAUGUUCUUGUUCUGGUAAACUAUAUAAUUCAGUCGAUAAGCUCAGUACAUUCUGCUGUUGUUCAUUUAAGGACCAUUUCUAGGAUAUAA
rnacentral:rRNA from 1 species